CUCCGUAGGUGAACCUGCGGAGGGAUCAUU
rnacentral:rRNA from 6 species